rnacentral:rRNA from 1 species
UUUUCCGGUUGAUCCUGCCGGACCCGACUGCUAUCGGAUUGAGACUAAGCCAUGCGAGUCAACCCGCAAGGGUGGCGGACGGCUCAGUAACACGUAGUCAACCUGCCCUGAGGACGUGGAUAUCCACGGGAAACUGUGGUUAAACCGCGAUAGGUCAUCGCUUCUGGAACGGGCGAUGGCUCAAAUCUACAUGGCCUCAGGAUGGGACUGCGGCCGAUCAGGUUGUUGGCGGGGUAAUGGCCCACCAAGCCUAUAACCGGUACGGGCUCUGAGAGGAGGAGCCCGGAGAUGGGCACUGAGACAAGGGCCCAGGUCCUAUGGGGCGCAGCAGGCGCGAAACCUUCGCAAUAGGCGAAAGCCUGACGAGGUUAAUCCGAGUGGUUCCUGCUAAAGGAACCUUUUGCCAGCUGUAAAAAGGCUGGUGAAUAAGGGGUGGGCAAGCCUGGUGUCAGCCGCCGCGGUAAUACCAGCACCCCGAGUGGUCGGGAUGAUUAUUGGGCCUAAAGCAUCCGUAGCCGGUUCUGCAAGUCUCCCGUUAAAUCCACCUGCUCAACAGUUGGGCUGCGGGAGAUACUGUAGGACUAGGAGGCGGGAGAGGCGAGGGGUAUUCCUUGGGUAGGGGUAAAAUCCUUUGAUCCAUGGAGGACCACCAGUGGCGAAGGCGCCUCGCCAGAACGCGCUCGACGGUGAGGGAUGAAAGCUGGGGGAGCAAACCGGAUUAGAUACCCGGGUAGUCCCAGCUGUAAACGAUGCAGGCUCGGUGAUGGACUGGCCUCGAGCCAGUCCAGUGCCGCAGGGAAGCCGUUAAGCCUGCCGCCUGGGGAGUACGGUCGCAAGACUGAAACUUAAAGGAAUUGGCGGGGGAGCACCACAAGGGGUGAAGCCUGCGGUUCAAUUGGAUUCAACGCCGGGAAU